rnacentral:rRNA from 1 species
AUUCAUUGGGUUUAAAGGGUGCGCAGGCGGAUUGGUAAGUCAGGGGUGAAAUCCCACAGCUCAACUGUGGAACUGCCUUUGAUACUGUCAGUCUAGAGUAUAGUUGAAGUUGGCGGAAUGUGUCAUGUAGCGGUGAAAUGCUUAGAUAUGACACAGAACACCGAUCGCGAAGGCAGCUAGCUAAGCUAUAACUGACGCUCAUGCACGAAAGCGUGGGGAUCAAACAGGAUUAGAUACCCUGGUAGUCCACGCUGUAAACGAUGAUUACUCGAUGUUGGCGAUACACAGUCAGCGUCUGAGCGAAAGCAAUAAGUAAUCCACCUGGGGAGUACGAUCGCAAGAUUGAAACUCAAAGGAAUUGACGGGGGCCCGCACAAGCGGAGGAGCAUGUGGUUUAAUUCGAUGAUACGCGAGGAACCUUACCUGGGCUCGAACGUAAGAUGACUGUAGGUGAAAGCUUACAUCUCUUCGGAGCAUUUUACGAGGUGCUGCAUGGUUGUCGUCAGCUCGUGCCGUGAGGUGUCGGGUUAAGUCCCAUAACGAGCGCAACCCCUACCUUUAGUUGCCAUCAGGUCAUGCUGGGGACUCUAAAGGAACUGCCUACGCAAGUAGUGAGGAAGGCGGGGAUGACGUCAAAUCAGCACGGCCCUUACGUCCAGGGCUACACACGUGCUACAAUGGCCGAUACAGAGGGUAGCUACCUGGUGACAGGAUGCAAAUCUCCAAAGUCGGUCUCAGUUCGGAUCGGAGUCUGCAACCCGACUCCGUGAAGUUGGAUUCGCUAGUAAUCGCGCAUCAGCCAUGGCGCGGUGAAUACGUUCCCGGGCCUUGUACACACCGCCCGUCAAGCCAUGGAAGCUGGGGGGACCUAAAGUCGAUAACCGCAAGGAGUCGCCUAGGGUAAAACCAGUGACUGGGGCUAAGUCGUAACAAGGUAGCCG